CUCCGGACUCCAGAACUUUCCAAGCGGGGGAAACUUGGCGGCGGAUUGCUGUCACGUCUAAUGUGGCUGCUGCCUCGUGUCACAUCUGAAACUCAUCUGUACCUCACUUAGAAAGUAUUUGCAUAGGAAUCAGAGGAGUUAAUCUGUCUCUUCUCACAGGUUUGAAUCUUCAGACAAACUUCUGGGAGGACUCGGUCCCUGCCUCGCAGCAGAUGUUCCCUGUCACUCAGUAGCAUAUGGCUACCCAUUCUCCCCAGAAAUCUCACCAGUG
rnacentral:lncRNA from 10 species